UACGUAGGUGGCAAGCGUUGUCCGGAUUUACUGGGUGUAAAGGGCGUGUAGACGGGUUUGCAAGUCAGAUGUGAAAUACCGCAGCUUAACUGCGGGGCUGCAUUUGAAACUGCAAAUCUUGAGUGCGGGAGAGGAAAGCGGAAUUCCUAGUGUAGCGGUGAAAUGCGUAGAUAUUAGGAGGAACACCAGUGGCGAAGGCGGCUUUCUGGACCGUAACUGACGUUGAGGCGCGAAAGCGUGGGUAGCAA
rnacentral:rRNA from 1 species